GUGCUUGCUUUGGCAGCACAUAUACUAAAAUUGGAACGAUACAGAGAAGAUUAUCAUGCCCCUGUGCAAGGAUGAUACGCAAAUUUAUGAAGUGUUCCAUAUUAAA